rnacentral:rRNA from 1 species
UUUCCCUACGGGACGCAGCAGUGAGGAAUAUUGGUCAAUGGGCGCGAGCCUGAACCAGCCAAGUAGCGUGCAGGACGACGGCCCUAUGGGUUGUAAACUGCUUUUAUACGGGGAUAAAGUAUGCCACGUGUGGUUUAUUGCAGGUACCGUAUGAAUAAGGACCGGCUAAUUCCGUGCCAGCAGCCGCGGUAAUGCGGAAGGUCCGGGCGUUAUCCGGAUUUAUUGGGUUUAAAGGG